GAUGAACGCUGGCGGCGUGCUUAACACAUGCAAGUCGAACGAGAAAUGUAGACGGAAACCUUCGGGCGGAAGCCUUCAUUUCGAGUGGCGGACGGGUGAGUAACGCGUGGGUAACUUGCCUCAUACAGGGGGAUAACAGUUGGAAACGACUGUUAAUACCGCAUAAGACCACAGCAUCGCAUGAUGCGGGGGUAAAAACUCCGGUGGUAUGAGAUGGACCCGCGUUCGAUUAGCCAGUUGGCGGGGUAACGGCCCACCAAAGCGACGAUCGAUAGCCGAUCUGAGAGGAUGACCGGCCACAUUGGGACUGAGACACGGCCCAAACUCCUACGGGAGGCAGCAGUGGGGAAUAUUGCACAAUGGGGGAAACCCUGAUGCAGCGACGCCGCGUGAGUGAAGAAGUACUUCGGUAUGUAAAGCUCUAUCAGCAGGGAAGAAAAUGACGGUACCUGAGUAAGAAGCCCCGGCUAACUACGUG
rnacentral:rRNA from 1 species